UUUUCGUUUCCUAUUUUUCUGAACUGUAAUUCAUAAAAUAAGUGCACACUUAGUUUUUCUUUCUUUCUCUUGUUCAUCAUGGCAUAUUUUCACCAGCUCAGAAUCAGAUUUUGAUCAGUUCUUGUAUUAACAGGGAACUUGUACUCGAAGCUCAACUUGAGAAGUUUCCCAGUGAAGAUGAAGUCCUUCAAAGGUUCGACACAGCUGAAAAGGAAGACCAUGGGCCUGUCAAACCUUGUUUGUGAGAGGGAUGAAUUGACCAUCUUGUUGUUUACGGAGAAGACCAAAAGCUGCUAAGGGCAGAUAUUUCCAGAGGAUUUCUGACAGAUUACUGAGUCCUUCUCCAUCAGCUCUCCACAAUAGCAGCCCUUCCAAAAGCAUCCACAUCACUCUCUCUUGUGUGGCACAUCUGCUCUCAGUCGUUAGCAUGUCUACUUGUAUUAUUUCUCCUCUAGUCAACACUCCCAUCUCUACUGUG